rnacentral:rRNA from 1 species
UACAGAGGGUGCAAGCGUUGUUCGGAAUUACUGGGCGUAAAGCGCGUGUAGGCUGCAGCGUAAGUCAGAUGUGAAAGCCCUCGGCUCAACUGAGGAAGUGCAUCCGAAACUGGCAGGCUAGAGUAUGUAAGAGGGUCGCGGAAUUCCCGGUGUAGAGGUGAAAUUCGUAGAUAUCGGGAGGAACACCGGUGGCGAAGGCGGCGACCUGGGACAAUACUGACGCUGAGGUGCGAAAGCGUGGGGAGCAAACAGG